GAUGAACGCUGGCGGCGUGCCUAAUACAUGCAAGUCGAGCGAACGGACGAGAAGCUUGCUUCUCUGAUGUUAGCGGCGGACGGGUGAGUAACACGUGGAUAACCUACCUAUAAGACUGGAUAACUUCGGGAAACCGGAGCUAAUACCGGAUAAUAUUUUGAACCGCAUGGUUCAAAAGUGAAAGACGGUCUUGCUGUCACUUAUAGAUGGAUCCGCGCUGCAUUAGCUAAUUGGUAAGGUAACGGCUUACCAAGGCAACGAUGCAUAGCCGACCUGAGAGGGUGAUCGGCCACACUGGAACUGAGACACGGUCCAGACUCCUACGGGAGGCAGCAGUAGGGAAUCUUCCGCAAUGGGCGAAAGCCUGACGGAGCAACGCCGCGUGAGUGAUGAAGGUCUUCGGAUCGUAAAACUCUGUUAUUAGGGAAGAACAUAUGUGUAAGUAACUGUGCACAUCUUGACGGUACCUAAUCAGAAAGCCACGGCUAACUACGUG
rnacentral:rRNA from 1 species